GCCUAAGUACCCUAAAGGCACCAGAUCCUGUUUGAUGUCAGAAGCCAAGCAGGGUCAGCCUAAGUCGUACUUUGAUGAGAGACCACCAAUGAAUACCAGGUGCCGUGGGCU
rnacentral:rRNA from 1 species